GGGGAUGUAGCGCAGUGGUAGCGCGUUCGCUUUGCAUUGUGAAAGGCCCCGGGUUCAACCCCGGCAUCUCCA